GCUUCCGUGGCUCAGUUGGAAGAGCGUUUGUGACUCUGGCCCAGGUGGAGAUAUCCAAAGGUCGCAAGUUCGAGCCUUGCCGGGAGCA